GAGSGCUGGCGGCAGGCCUAACACAUGCAAGUCGAACGGAUCCUUCGGGAUUAGUGGCAGACGGGUGAGUAACGCGUGGGAAGCUACCUUGUGGUAGGGAACAACAGUUGGAAACGACUGCUAAUACCCUAUGAGCCCUAUGGGGGAAAGAUUUAUCGCCAUGAGAUGUGCCCGCGUUAGAUUAGCUAGUUGGUAAGGUAAUGGCUUACCCAAGGCGACGAUCUAUAGCUGGUCUGAGAGGAUGAUCAGCCACACUGGGACUGAGACACGGCCCAGACUCCUACGGGAGGCAGCAGUGGGGAAUAUUGGACAAUGGGGGCAACCCUGAUCCAGCCAUGCCGCGUGAGUGAUGACGGCCUUAGGGUUGUAAAGCUCUUUCAGCAGUGAAGAUAAUGACAUUAACUGCAGAAGAAGCCCCGGCUAACUUCGUGCCAGCAGCCGCGGUAAUACGAAGGGGGCUAGCGUUGUUCGGAAUCACUGGGCGUAAAGCGUACGUAGGCGGACUGAUCAGUCAGGGGUGAAAUCCCGGGGCUCAACCCCGGAACUGCCUUUGAUACUGUCAGUCUUGAGAUCGAGAGAGGUGAGUGGAACUCCGAGUGUAGAGGUGAAAUUCGUAGAUAUUCGGAAGAACACCAGUGGCGAAGGCGGCUCACUGGCUCGAWACUGA
rnacentral:rRNA from 1 species